UACGAAGGGGGCUAGCGUUGCUCGGAAUCACUGGGCGUAAAGCGCACGUAGGCGGGCUCUUAAGUCGGUGGUGAAAUCCUGGAGCUCAACUCCAGAACUGCCUCCGAUACUGAGAGUCUUCGAGUCCGGGAGAGGUGAGUGGAACUGCGAGUGUAGAGGUGAAAUUCGUAGAUAUUCGCAAGAACACCAGUGGCGAAGGCGGCCGGCUGGGGGCGCCCUGACGCUGAGGCGCGAGAGCGUGGGGAGCAAACAGG
rnacentral:rRNA from 1 species